rnacentral:rRNA from 1 species
UACAGAGGUCCCGAGCGUUGUUCGGAUUCACUGGGCGUAAAGGGUGCGUAGGUGGUGAGGUCAGUCGGAUGUGAAAUCUCCGGGCUCAACCCGGAAAUGGCAUUGGAAACUACCUUGCUAGAGGAUUUGAGGGGGGAUUGGAAUACUUGGUGUAGCAGUGAAAUGCGUAGAUAUCAAGUGGAACACCAGUGGCGAAGGCGAAUCCCUGGAAAAUACCUGACACUGAGGCACGAAAGCUAGGGGAGCAAACAGG